rnacentral:rRNA from 1 species
AAUAGAUACCCGGGUAGUCCACCCCGUAAACGUUGGAACUAGUUGUGGGGUCCAUUCCACGGAUUCCGUGACGCAGCUAACGCAUUAAGUUCCCCGCCUGGGGAGUACGGCCGCAAGGCUAAAACUCAAAGGAAUUGACGGGGACCCGCACAAGCGGCGGAGCAUGCGGAUUAAUUCGAUGCAACGCGAAGAACCUUACCAAGGCUUGACAUAUACGAGAACGCUGCAGAAAUGUAGAACUCUUUGGACACUCGUAAACAGGUGGUGCAUGGUUGCCGUCAGCUCGUGUCGUGAGAUGUUGGGUUAAGUCCCGCAACGAGCGCAACCCUCGUUCUAUGUUGCCAGCACGUAAUGGUGGGAACUCAUGGGAUACUGCCGGGGUCAACUCGGAGGAAGGUGGGGAUGACGUCAAAUCAUCAUGCCCCUUAUGUCUUGGGCUUCACGCAUGCUACAAUGGCCGGUACAAAGGGCUGCAAUACCGUAAGGUGGAGCGAAUCCCAAAAAGCCGGUCCCAGUUCGGAUUGAGGUCUGCAACUCGACCUC